rnacentral:lncRNA from 1 species
UUUAUAGGCACAAAUAACUUGGUUACCAUAAAAAGAGAAGAUAUCAACCUUAUGCACAAUUACAAACAAAGAUUAGGAUAGACUACCACAGUAAUCAGUAUGAUAGCUCGGGCAAUGUCUAUCUUCUUUCUGAUAUACUGAUCACAUAAUCUGGGUUUUAUACUCUGAAUCUAAAGAAAUUAAAUAUUGUCAGUUAGCAUAGCAGUAUCUUUAAAACAAGUAUGCAUAUAGAAGGUGCAAUUUCAUACAAGCACAAUACCAGCUUUUUUACUGCCUCUGUAAUCAUCUCCCGAGCUUUAUCCUCCGGUACCUAAGGCAGACAGACCUGAAAUCAGAUCAAGAACAAUAAUCCACUGGAUUGCUCGCAUAGGCAUAUCCCAGUACUUGCUUCCUUGGGAACAC